rnacentral:rRNA from 1 species
GGGGGUACAGAGGGUCGCUACCUGGUGACAGGAUGCUAAUCUCAUAAAGCCUCUCUCAGUUCGGAUCGGAGUCUGCAACUCGACUCCGUGAAGCUGGAUUCGCUAGUAAUCGCGCAUCAGCCAUGGCGCGGUGAAUACGUUCCCGGGCCUU